UACGUAGGGAGCAAGCGUUGUCCGGAAUCAUUGGGCGUAAAGCGCGCGUAGGCGGCCCGAUAAGUCCGCUGUGAAAGUCAACGGCUCAACUGUUGGAUGCCGGCGGAUACUGUCGGGCUAGAGUACGGAAGAGGCAAGUGGAAUUCCUGGUGUAGCGGUGAAAUGCGCAGAUAUCGGGAGGAACACCAGUAGCGAAGGCGGCACUCUGGGCCGGUACUGACGCUGAGGAGCGAAAGCGUGGGGAGCGAACAGG
rnacentral:rRNA from 1 species